AGACGAGGACUCGCUGUGUUGGCUGUUCUUGAGCUUCUGGGCUCAAGCAAUCCUCCCUCCUGAGCUUCCCAGAGUGCUAGGAUUACAGGUGUGAGCCACUGAGCCCAGCCCAUUUUCUUUUUUUUUUUUUUCCUGGCUUCCUUUCCUCCCUGUCUCCCUGGCCUACCCUUCCUCUUCCCUCAGCUGUUCCUUCCCUUUCUCUCCAGUGAAGACUAAGGGCCAAGCAUGAGCCUUUCUUCCUGCUCUUUUACCCUUGAGGCAGCAGGAGAGGAUAUUCACCUCCUGACAUGACAGAUUCUGACGCUAUCUGCUCCUCUGUGACUUUGGGAAGCGGGGUAUGUGCUGCUCCUGGGCUGAUGGGGGAAAGUGCCUCUCCCAGCAAUGCUGGUGCCACUUGGUGUGCUACGGCCCCCCAGGGCAGUGCGGAGCCAUCUGGGACAGUUAGACAAUGAGAGACGUGAAGCCAUUUCAAGGUGCUUCCUUGAAAAUGCUCCAGAAAAACAGCAGAGGCGGCCUCUCUGGGGAUCCGGUCCAGCCCUUGAAAAGAAUCUGUUUGUUUCACCACUGAACUCAAAUAAGCCAACAGAUUGAAGGAAGGGAGUUUCCACGCGCCCCUCCCCACCAAGCAGUUACCUGAGUUCCAGAGUCCAGUCCGAUGGAUCCCAUUUUACCCUGGUUUAAAUUGUUUCCUUAGAAAAAAAUAAAC
rnacentral:misc_RNA from 1 species